rnacentral:rRNA from 1 species
UUGGGAGUGGCUUGCUGCAACCAACCGCAUUUAUUAGAAAUUACCAACCGCAUGAGAAAUUAUGUGUGGUGAAUCUAGAUAACUUUGCUGAUCGCAUGGCCUAGUGCCGGCGACAUUUCGAUUGAGUUUCUGCCCUAUCACCUUGAUGCUAGUGUAUUGUACUAGCAUGGGAGUUACGGGUAACGGAGGAUCAGGGUUCGAUCCCGGAGAGGGAGCCUGAGAAACGGCUACCACAUCCAAGGAAGGCAGCAGGCGCGCAAAUUACCCAAUCCAGACAAUGGGAGGUGGUGAAGAAGAGUACCAGAUGACUGAAUUAAAUUUAGUCAGUUUGGAAUGGAAUCAAUUUAAGCAAUUGAAUAGAGAAACUACUGGAGGGCAAGUCUGGUGCCAGCAGCCGCGGUAAUUCCAGCUCCAGUAGCGUGUCUCAAAGUUGCUGCGCUUAAAACGCUCGUAGUUGGAUGAGAAACUACAUAUUAGAUAGUUAUUUAAUAGGUUCAAUGAACUACAUAUUUAAUAUUACUGUAAUGCUUUUAGUGUUCAGUAAAAUAUUGAUAUUGGUUUAACUAUUGAUAACAUAUAACUGGUAUGUAGUAAUUGCGUAUGAGGAUGACCAUUGACCUUAAGUGUGUUGAAGGUCGUGUCUCAUGGGAUGUGCCUUGAGUAAAUCAGAGUGCUCAAAGCGGGCUUUAUGCCUGAAUGUUGAUAGCAUGGAACGAACAAUAGUGUAGAGUUGUAUUGAUUUUGGUAGUGGNCGUUAUCUUAUGAUAAUGAUACUACUGCAAUACGCAACACCGAUUGCCAAUAACGGAUGUUGGUUCCGUAUUGGGGUACUGAUUAAGAGGAGCGGUUGGGGGCAUUGGUAUUUGGCAGCGAGAGGUGAAAUUCUUGGACCUGCCAAGGACUAACAAAUGCGAAGGCAUCUGUCCAGACCGUAUCCAUUAAUCAAGAACGAUAGUGAGAGGUUCGAAGACGAUCAGAUACCGUCCUAGUUCUCACUGUAAACUAUGCCGACCCGGGAUUAGUCCUUUGCUUUUAUUAAACGGCUUGGGUUGGUCCCCCUGGGAAACCUAAAGUUUUUCGGUUGCGGGGGGAGUAUGGUCGCAAGGCUGAAACUUAAAGGAAUUGACGGAAGGGCACCACCAGGGGUGGAGCCUGCGGCUUAAUUUGACUCAACACGGGAAAUCUUACAUGUGCAGGACAUUAAAAGGAUUGUCAGACUGAAGAUCUUACAUGAUCUGGUGAUUGGUGGUGCAUGGCCGUUCUUAGUUCGUGAAGUGAUUUGUCAGGUUAAUUCCGGUAACGGACGAGAUCACAAUCUCCAUUUGACGAACUGAGGUAAAUGUGAGUUGUCAAUAAAUUUGGAAACAAAGGUAUUGAUUAAUAUUUGCAUUGAUGGUAAUAUGUUGUAAGGCUUGUGAAGUUGAUAGGUAUAUGGCAACAUAUAUUUAUUGAUGACGYUAGUUUUUAUGAUAUAUUCCCCUUAGUCAAACAGUGUAUAGCUUUAAGUUAUAUGCUGUAUCAUGGAGAGACAACGGAAUAUAUUAAAAAUCCGAGGAAGUGUGGCGAUAACAGGUCUGUGAUGCCCUUAGAUGUUCAUGGCUGCACGCGCGCUACAAUGGCGACGACAACGAGUGUSUGAAUCGAAAGAUUCGGGUAAUCUUAUAAUCGUCGCCGUGAUGGGGAUUGAUGUUUGUAAAUACGUCAUGAAAGAGGAAUCCCUAGUACGUGCGAUUCAUUAAAUCGCGCGGAUUUAGUCCCUGCCCUUUGUACACMCCGCCCGUCGCUACUACCGAGUGAAUGGUGUCAUAAU